rnacentral:rRNA from 1 species
CCUACGGGAGGCAGCAGUGGGGGAUAUUGCACAAUGGGCGCAAGCCUGAUGCAGCGACGCCGCGUGAGCGAAGAAGUAUUUCGGUAUGUAAAGCUCUAUCAGCAGGGAAGAAAAUGACGGUACCUGACUAAGAAGCUCCGGCUAAAUACGUGCCAGCAGCCGCGGUAAUACGUAUGGAGCAAGCGUUAUCCGGAUUUACUGGGUGUAAAGGGAGCGUAGGCGGCCCUGUAAGUCUGAUGUGAAAAUUUGGGGCUCAACCCCAAACGUGCAUUGGAAACUGCAGGGCUUGAGUGCCGGAGAGGCAGGCGGAAUUCCUAGUGUAGCGGUGAAAUGCGUAGAUAUUAGGAGGAACACCAGUGGCGAAGGCGGCCUGCUGGACGGUAACUGACGCUGAGGCUCGAAAGCGUGGGGAGCAAACAGGAUUAGAUACCCUUGUAGUC